CAUUCUGGUUUAAUGUGGAAUGUAUGUAAAUAAUAAAAGGGGAACGUAUUUUAAUGCAAAUGUGGUUGGCAAUGCGAUAUUAACAUAUGGUACGGUGACAGAAUAUUUAAACAAAACAAUAAGUGAAACCAUGGAUUUGGACGGCAAAUAUUAGAGGCGCAGUUGGACAAGAGAGGAAACAAAGGCGUUACUGCUUUCCUAUCAGAGCAGGAAAGAUGAAUUUGAAGAUCAUCGGCGUAAAAAUUGCCUGCAGAUGAGACUCCAGGACCGUCUCGUAAAAGGCAAUUGUCACCAGGCAACAAAACCACCGGAAAAAUUGAAUACGCUGCCAAAAAAAUUGAAAUUCUAGAAGAUUAUACUAAUAGGAAAUUGGAGUUAAGAGAAGAGGCUCUUAAAAUAAAAGCAGACAGCACAAGCAAAA